rnacentral:rRNA from 1 species
AACGAACGUGGACGGCAGGCUUAACACAUGCAAGUCGAGCGGGCGUAGAAUACGUCAGCGGCAGACGGGUGAGUAACGCGUGGAAACGUACCUUUUGGUUCGGAACAACACAGGGAAACUUGUGCUAAUACCGGAUAAGCCCUUACGGGGAAAGAUUUAUCGCCGAAAGAUCGGCCCGCUUCUAAUUAGCUAGUUGGUGGGGUAACGGCCCACCAAGGCGACGAUCAGUAGCUGGUCUGAGAGGAUGAUCAGCCACAUUGGGACUGAGACACGGCCCAAACUCCUACGGGAGGCAGCAGUGGGGAAUAUUGGACAAUGGGCGCAAGCCUGAUCCAGCCAUGCCGCGUGAGUAAUAAAGGCCCUAGGGUUGUAAAGCUCUUUUGUGCGGGAAGAUAAUGACGGUACCGCAAGAAUAAGCCCCGGCUAACUUCGUGC